UGAAGUCUCAGAGCCGGGUGUUGGUUCCGGUAGAGAUCGAGGGAAGUUAGUACCGAAGUCUGGGAUGGAAGAUGGCGAGAAAAGCUGUGUGUAUUUCUGAGGUGCCCGUACCGCAAACCGACACAGGUAGGUAGGAAGAAGAUUCUAAGGCCAACGGGAGAAGGGUUGUUAAGGAACUCGGCAAAUUGACCCCGUAACUUCGGGAGAAGGGGUGCUCCAGAGAUGGAGCCGCAGAGAAUCGGCCCAAGCAACUGUUUACCAAAAACACAGGUUUGUGCUAAAUCAAAAGAUGACGUAUACGAGCUGACGCCUGCCCGGUGCUGGAAGGUUAAGAGGAGAUGUGCAAGCAUUGAAUCGAAGCCCCAGUGAACGGCGGCCGUAACAAUAACGGUCCUAAGGUAGCGAAAUUCCUUGUCAGGUAAGUUCUGACCCGCAUGAAAGGCGUAAUGAUUUGGGCACUGUCUCAACAGCCCGCCCGGCGAAAUUGUAGUACCGGUGAAGAUGCCGGUUACCCGCGACAAGACGGAAAGACCCCAUGGAGCUUUACUGUAGCCUAAUAUUGGGUUUCGAUGUUGCAUGCACAGGAUAGAUGGGACACUGGGAAACAAUCGCUUUGGCGGUUGCGGAGUGGCCGUUGGGAUACCAUCCUUGCGAUAUUGGAAUUCUAACCUGCGGCUCUGAAUCGAGUCGGGGGACAUUGUUAGGUGGGCAGUUUGACUGGGGCGGUCGCCUCCUAAAAAGUAACGGAGGCGUUCAAAGGUUCGCUCAGCUUGAACGGAAAUCAAGCAAAAGAGUGCAAACGCAGAAGCGAGCCUAACUGCGAGACUGACGGGUCGAGCAGUAACGAAAGUUGGAGUUAGUGAUCCGGUGGUAUGUGAGUGGAAAUGCCAUCGCUCAACGGAUAAAAGUUACCCUGGGGAUAACAGGCUGAUCUCCCCCAAGAGUCCACAUCGACGGGGAGGUUUGGCACCUCGAUGUCGGCUCAUCGCAUCCUGGGGCUGUAUUCGGUCCCAAGGGUUUGGCUGUUCGCCAAUUAAAGCGGUACGCGAGCUGGGUUCAGAGCGUCGUGAGACAGUUCGGUCCCUAUCUGUCGUGGGCGCAGGAUAUUUGAUGGGAGCUGUCCCUAGUACGAGAGGACCGGGACGGACGUACCUCUGGCGCACCAGUUGUUCCGCCAGGAGCAUAGCUGGGCAACUACGUACGGAUCGGAUAAACGCUGAAAGCAUCUAAGUGUGAAGCCGACCCAAAGAUAAGAUAUCCCACUGAUUUGAUCAGGUAAGAUCCCUUGAAGACUACAAGGUUGAUAGGCACGAUGUGUAAGUGGAGUGAUCCAUUCAGCAAGAGUGUACUAAUAGAUCGAGGGCUUGAUCA
rnacentral:rRNA from 1 species